rnacentral:rRNA from 1 species
CUUGUGGCCCACAUGACCAUUGUCCGCACUCUUCUUGUUGUGGCUUCUGUUUGUCAUUGGUCUAUCUCUCAACUUCAUGUUCAGAACGCCUUUCUCAAUGGCGAGUUGCGUGAGGAGGUUUAUAUGCAGCCACCACCGGGGUACUAUGCUCCUGAUGGUAUGGUCUGUAGACUUCGCCGCUCCCUCUAUGGUCUUAAACAGGCCCCUCGCGCCUGGUUUGAGCGCUUUGCCUCUGUGGUGACUACCGCUGGUUUCUUGCCCAGUGAUCAUGAUCCCGCGUUGUUUGUUCACACGUCUCCUCGUGGUCGGACUCUUCUCCUUCUCUAUGUUGAUGACACGAUCAUCACUGGUGACGACUCUGACUACGUUGCCUUUGUUAAGGCUCGCCUUCGCGACCAGUUCCUCAUGACUGAUCUUGGUCCACUUCGCUAUUUUCUUGGGAUUGAGAUCUCCUCGACCUCUGAUGGCUUCUACAUCUCCCAAGAAAAAUAUAUUCAGGAUCUUCUUUCUCGCGCUGCUCUCGGUGAUGAGCGCACAGUUGUGACUCCUAUGGAUCUCAACGUUCAGCUUCGUGCCUCUGAUGGUGACCCUCUUCCUAAUCCCACUCGCUAUCGUCACCUUGUUGGCAGUCUUGUCUAUCUUGCUGUUACGCGUCCUGGCAUCUCCUAUCCUGUCCACAUCCUGAGUCAGUUUGUUUCAGCCCCCACCUCUGUCCACUAUAGUCAUCUCCUCCGUGUUCUACGAUAUCUUCGUGGCACAAUCUCUCAGCGCCUUUUCUUUCCUCGCUCCAGCUCUCUUGAGCUCGGUAUAUCCCCAUUAUAUAAG